UACAGAGGGUGCGAGCGUUAAUCGGAAUUACUGGGCGUAAAGCGCACGUAGGCGGCCAUGUAUGUCGAUUGUGAAAUCCCCGGGCUCAACCUGGGAACUGCAUUCGAAACUGCAUGGCUGGAGUACGGAAGAGGAAGGCGGAAUUCCCGGUGUAGCGGUGAAAUGCGUAGAUAUCGGGAGGAACAUCAGUGGCGAAGGCGGCCUUCUGGUCCAGUACUGACGCUCAAGUGCGAAAGCGUGGGGAGCAAACAGG
rnacentral:rRNA from 1 species